rnacentral:rRNA from 1 species
UACAGAGGUCUCAAGCGUUGUUCGGAUUCAUUGGGCGUAAAGGGUGCGUAGGUGGCGCUGUAAGUCGGGUGUGAAAUUUCGGAGCUUAACUCCGAAACUGCAUUCGAUACUGGCGUGCUUGAGGACUGGAGAGGAGACUGGAAUUUACGGUGUAGCAGUGAAAUGCGUAGAUAUCGUAAGGAAGACCAGUGGCGAAGGCGGGUCGUCUGGACAGUUCCUGACACUGAGACACGAAGGCCAGGGGAGCAAACGGG